UCAGGGUUAGGGUCAUGGUUUGGGUCAAAUUCAAACAAACAAUGUUUUCAUUUGUUUUUUUUCUGCAAUUACUGUUCCUUGAUGAUUGCAGCAUGAAUUUAUUAGCAUCUAUUAUAAUCAUGCUAUUGAUUUUUUAAAACCUCUAUACAGCACUUACAGAUGAUUGACACCCAUUGCAGCAUGUGUAUCACCAGCCUGACCUUUGAUCUUAGAUCAUUUUUGUGUACAAUAAAAAUCUGAUUUCCAGUUCUUCUUUGCUCAAAAGUGCCAGAAUGCUUGUUAUGCUGGCUAACUUAGCCUAGGGCAAACAUUAAAAAUCCAAGUCGUGUCGAAUAUAAUUAAAGCAAAGGCUGCACACCAUUAAAACACGGGAAUAAGCCUGUGUCCCCAUGCCAUUCACGCGAUGUGCUGCUAGUUACUGCCAGGAGUUGUUAGCAAAAUAGUGCAAUACAAUGCUUGUCAGGCCUUACUUUGGCAAUUAUUUAUGAAAAAUAGACAGUUAAGACUCACGUUACAUACAGCUGUGAGAACAGUGUAUCAGAGAUGUCAGCCAUUGUUCUGCGUGUCAAGCAUUUAUAUUUAGUGUUCAUGAAAUGGGAACACAUUUCCAUCACACUGUGUGA